rnacentral:lncRNA from 1 species
CUAGACUUGUUUGGGUGUCUAGGCUGAUAUAUAUUCUCUGUAUAAUAUAAUAUUUUUUUGGAAUUUUAAGCGGGUCAUAUUUAACACACGAUUUUGAACGAAAUAAUCUGACUUCUCAAAGUGACGUUUGGUAUUUAACAGGAUCAUUAUAUGAAUUUUAGAACUUAAACAAGACACGUUCUCCUCACCGCGUAAACAGAGGGACAGAUGAGAAUACUAGGCCAGAACCAGUGGCAAAGAACGGACCAAAUCGACCAAAUUCGCGGUUGAGUGACGAGAGCUCCCACACAAGCUCCGGAAGAGGCUAUAUUUGUGAUGUAGAAAGUGAAGAAGAUACCAGGAUGUAUAGGAAAUUGACGUUGUACUUGACACUGCAGUUGUUUUCACGCAUCAUUACUGAUUUCCAUGAGGAACACUUAAUUAGCGCACUGAUUCGCAAACUCAAUUUCACGGUCGGACCCAAUUUCCUUUUACUCGUAACAUUCAACAGGCUUACUCGCACUCCUGCCAAUAUCAAUCUGGCGAGCUUCAGAUGAAGGUUCAAGAUGAGCCAGAAAGGAAAAUAGAAACACUGGGAAAAGAUACAUGGCGCGGUACAAACCUUGUUUGUUAACAACCGUUGGCAAAGAUCGUAAACGAUUAAGUUGGCCCGACCUUCAAGUGAUAAGACGAUUUAAUAUGUGUCAUCUCUCAAAAGAAACUAAAUUAGACAAGUUGAGUUGUGUGGUAAUUGGCAUUGACUUUGAACUUGGUUGCUAUAUUAUUUUAUACAUACAAUAAAGUGUUUAAUAUUAGCAGUUAGCACAUAUUUAACUUGAGGCCAACAGUAUUGCCAGAAACCUUGUCUGGGAAUUAACUAUUGAAACAGUCAAUGCUUAUCAUUGAAUAUUUGUUUAAUAUACUGUUUUCUUUUUUUUUUUAUGAUGACCUUACUAGGACAAUCCCUUCAAUGACACUUUACACUUUUCAACAUUGAGUUUCAAAGGAAAUUAUACAAUUUCAAACAAGUUUGUUGCCAGGAGAUUAUUUAAUGAAAUUGGUUUCCUUUUUUAUUGACCAGAUGAUAACCAUCGCUUGUUUUUCUUAUGAGCAGCAAAAAAGUAUGUAAUCAAUUUAUUUUCUUAGAUGAGAAAAACCUCAGGAAUUUCAUCCUAAAAUGUACUUUAUUUUUAAUUGAAUUUCUUGCAUAAAAAUUUCAAAACAUUUGGCAUUUUUCUGAAAUUAAUCAAACUUUAUUGUUUGAGAAAAGUGGUUGAGUGUGAAAGGGUUUAUUUUUAAAAUAUAAUGUCAAUUUACUACUUUCUAGAUAAUAAUAAUAUGAUAGUAAUAUGGCAUACUAUUUUCCAUUGUCUGGUUUGUUCCAUAAAAUUGGGUUACAAAGUUAAAGAUUAUUGUAGUCAGUUGUUACAGUCAGUUUAAAUCCAAUAAUCCAGCAUUGUGGAUUAAAACAAGAAACUUGACACAUAUUACUAUGGCUCAUUGUGAAUAGCAUAACCAUUUUUGUGUAUAGGUUUACCUCAACAGUGCCACCUAGUGGCCAGAAACAACAUAAUUUUCUUUACCCACAUCGUUGCUAUGAUAUUUG